rfam:Populus trichocarpa scaffold_1_contig_21, whole genome shotgun sequence.
UAAGCUGUUUGGGGCAAAUUCUCAUUUUUUUAUAGCAGAUCCAUACCUUACUGCUCAGAAUCACUCAUUAUCGUAAGUUCGACUAAAUCAUUGACAUUGAAAGACAGAUAACAACUACUGUGUGAACAAUAACUUUUU